AAACACGCGACCCGAGAGAGCCUGCAACAGAGAGCAAUAGCGUGCGAUUCGCCCCUGUUCGGGUGACUUUUCCGAGUUUUCACGAAGUGAAAAACUGUGAAUGAUACGCGGCAUGUGUGGCUGCCUAUCAGCAACACCAACAAGCAGCAACAUCAAGCAGCAGCAACGGCAGCAACAGCAGCAGCAGCCGAGCGGUGGCAAUAUCCACAGUUCUUAUCCGAGGGCCGUUGUGUUUGGUUCGUCGUGCGGGUGUUGUACUUGCUCUGUACUAACUGUGUCCCAACUCGCAGUACUGACUCUGCAGCAUCGCAGCUCAGAGAUACUUCGAAGGCAACGGGAAGACAGGCGAGCGAUAUCUUUUUGUCAACUUGCAAUUUAUGUGUCUAAUUAGAACGCGAAGAGUCGGCGGCAGAUCAUUAGUGCGUGACUCUCGAAAGCUGAGUGCUGCGCAUCCGUCAGGUUGCGUGUGCCCCGCCCCCUGACCCCCAGCCCCAUGACAUGUGCCGUGCCGGGUCUUCCUUGUGCGUGUGAUUAGUCGCGAAAAGAAAUGCCAAAAAAAUAAGCUAAACACUCGACUGAAAUCAAAACACUCGAGAAAAACUGGGAAAAACGCAAUCCCCGGGAAGAGAUAUCAAAUGAGAAUUGAAAUUUAGGGCAAAAGCGGAUUACGAGCAGCAAUAAUAGCCGAAAGCGGAAAACAAACCAGCCAUCCAGCAAAGCUCCCGAAUCACAGAAGGAGAAGUAUCUCCAUUUUUGUGUGUCUUCGAGGGCAAAGUGUGCGAAAAAUUAAGUUGAGAGAAAACAGAAAGGCGGCGAAAGUUUAAAGUGAAUUUGCGAAAAACCAGAAAUUGGCGCGUGGAACAGAUAAACACGAAUAGGCGGUGGAUUUCGGUAAAUCAAAUGGAAAUUUGAGUGCGUCAUGCUGUCUCAUUAACGUUUUGCAUUAAACCGCACUCGCUGUGGGUCAUCAUCAAUUAAUUCGCUGCGAGCGGGCAACAAGGGGAGUCACUUUUCGCACUUUAAGCGCCAAAAAACCAAUACUCCCACAAGCAAAAAAAUAAAAAAACAGAAAAAAACACAAUCCGAAUAAAAAACACAUCACAAAAGGCCACGCAAAGCAUACAAAGAAAUAAAAACGAAAUUAAUGACACAAUAACACACUGCGGUUUCAUUUGUAGUGGUCAGUGGUCGCGUAUCUGUGUGUGUAUCGGCGAGAUUGGGGACCGAAGAUACAUAUUCCUAGAGAGGGAGCAACAGUUCUUCUCCCAGUUAUCCAUAUAACAUAACUAUAUAGCCCCUGAUCGGUCGCGUGGCACUAUAAUUUAUCACAAUUGUCAUCAUCGUCUGCCAGCAGGCAGGCAAAGUGAAAGUGCAGCAUCCACAAGAUACAGAUACAAAUUGUUUCAACAGACUUGUUCCUCGCAGAUACGGGUCAGUGCAUUAGAACAAUAGCUGCGAGAACUAAACUUUUGCUCGUCUUUGUUGGCAAAAGAAAAACAUAAAUUAAAGUUACCAGCGACCAGUUGCAAGGAGGCCUUGAAAGUUCCUCUGCCGUUUGGAUUAGCAAAAGGAAAAGGCCAACAAAAAGAUACUAUCCAUUUGCCGGGGAUUCGCGAUAGGACGACCGAGGGACUCCUUCAAAUCCUCAACCGAAAAGGCGGGGCCAUAAAAGUGCAAAUAAACAUGUAAAAGCACAUUAAGCGAUUCCACAGACUUGAUCUGAGUCCGUCGCACAGACAUGCAUUCCUGAAUGUCUGUUGGAAUACUCCUUUUAUGGGCCAACUCCCCGGCGGAGAGUACAUUGGCGCUUCAUUAAAGCCAGCGCCGGAAGCGGAAAUAGCCGAGCAGCCGUAACCAAGGAGACGCAUGUUUAUUGGCGCCAGGUCAGAAAAGUAUUAAAAAGUACAAAAAGAGUAUAAACACAUGAACUGCAUGUUGCCACUGCAACAUUCUGGACUCUUCUUGCACUGGCGUUUCUUUGACACUUGGGUCAAAUUGAAGCUUGCUACAUAAAUGACGAGACGUCCUCGCGUUUGGCACAACGCACCGCAAGCACAACAAAAUGACAGCCAUGCAGCUUUUAUUGACAACAACAGCAAUAGCAACAACAGAAACAGAAACCGAAACAGGAUCAGAAUCAGGAACUGGAACAGCAUCCAUGCAAAAGACAACAAUGGCGGAAUAUUGGCAACAACAGCAACAGGAACAG